rnacentral:misc_RNA from 1 species
UACGAAGGUGGCGAGCGUUACUCGGAAUAACUAGGCGUAAAGGGCAGGUAGGUGGCUUGGUAAGUCUGUUGUGAAAGCUCCCGGCUUAACUGGGAGAGGCCAACAGAUACUGCUAGGCUUGAGUAUGGGAGAGGAUACUGGAAUUCCCGGUGUAGCGGUGAAAUGCGCAGAGAUCGGGAGGAACACCAAUGGCGAAAGCAAGUAUCUGGACCAUUACUGACACUCAGCUGCGAAAGCUAGGGGAGCAAACAGG